rnacentral:rRNA from 1 species
UGUAUUUAUUAGAUAAAAAACCAAUGCCCUUCGGGGCUUUUUGGUGAUUCAUGAUAACUUUACGGAUUCGCAUAGACUUGCGCUGGCGACGGUUCAUUUCAAUUUCUGCCCUAUCAACUUUCGAUGGUAAGGUAUUGGCUUACCAUGGUUUCAACGGGUAACGGGGAAUUAGGGUUCGAUUCCGGAGAGGGAGCCUGAGAAACGGCUACCACAUCCAAGGAAGGCAGCAGGCGCGCAAAUUACCCAAUCCCGAUACGGGGAGGUAGUGACAAUAAAUACUGAUACAGGGCUCUUUUGGGUCUUGUAAUUGGAAUGAGUACAAUUUAAACCUCUUAACGAGGAACAAUUGGAGGGCAAGUCUGGUGCCAGCAGCCGCGGUAAUUCCAGCUCCAAUAGCGUAUAUUAAAGUUGUUGCAGUUAAAAAGCUCGUAGUUGAAACUUGGGCCUGUGCUGGCGGGUCCGCCUCACCGCGUGCACUCGUCCGGCCGGGCCUUCCUUCUGAAGAACCUCAUGCCCUUCACUGGGCGUGCUGGGGAACCAGG